AGGACUAAAUAAACUCUUCUUGUGUUUAG
rnacentral:piRNA from 1 species